rnacentral:misc_RNA from 1 species
AACUUUCAGCAACGGAUCUCUUGGCUCUCGCAUCGAUGAAGAACGCAGCGAAAUGCGAUACGUAAUGUGAAUUGCAGAAUUCAGUGAAUUAUCGAAUCUUUGAACGCAUAUUGCGCUCUUUGGUAUUCCGAAGAGCAUGCUUGUUUGAGUAUCAGUAAACACCUCAACACUCUCGAUUUGUUUCGAAUGAGUCUUGGAUGUGAGCAAACCCAACGCCUGUCUGCUAGCCAGCCUUACGGCCGGUGUCAUGAAACACAAGUGCAGCUGAGGUUUAUUCUGAGCUAAUCGCAUAUUUAAUUAGCCCCGUAAAAAGGAUUAUUAAUCUGCUGAAGCAGACACCAAAGGAAGUGUCCUCUGGCUGACGGAUGCAGAAUUUCGCCAAGCUGGUAAAACUGCCGUGUAAAACUCGAUCCCAAAUCAAUUAAGAAGACCAGUUGAACAUUACCAAAUCAUUAAGCGGAGGCU